CAGAGAUAUAUAUAUACACUGGGAACGGUUAGGGACAGAUAGAUAUAGAUAUAUACACACUGGGAACGGUUAAGGACAGAUAGAUAUAUUGUGGCAAAGAAGGGGGUCGAGUGGUAAAUGGCAGAUAUGUGAGAGCAGAACUCAUAAACGGGCUCUGCCCGAUCACUAAAAUGGCCACCCCUGUCAGAACUACAGAUCACAAAAUGGCCGACCACCAAAACUACAAGUCCCAGAAGCAAGGGGAACCCUCAGAAGGUGGAGCCAACCCACAGAUAAAGGGUCAAGAAAAACCAGGAAGAGAAGAAGAGAGUGCUGGAAUGAUCUAUGAACAAUAGAGAAAGAGACAAUAGAGAUUGGCUGGAUUUACCGUGUAUGAGUUGGACUGUUUUGGACUUACCUGUUGGCGUUUGGACCUGGACCUACCGAGAACCCGAUUCGUGUACCGAACCCUGCUAUCCUUGACCUCGCCUACGGCCUGGGUGGACCAGGACGGAGAAACAAACACACAGAACUACAGAUCACAACAUGGCCGACCACCAAAACUACAAGUUCCAGAAGCAAGGGGAACCCUCAGAAGGUGGAGCCAACCCACAGAUAAAGGGUCAAGAAAAACCAGGAUGAGAAGAAGAGAGUGCUGGAAGGAUCUAUGAACAAUAGAGAAAGAGACAAUAGAGAUUGGCUGGAUUUACCGUGUAUGAGUUGGACUGUUUUGGACUUACCUGUUGGCGUUUGGACCUGGACCUACCGGGAACCCGAUUCGUGUACCGAACCCUGCUAUCCUUGACCUCGCCUUCGGCCUGGCUGGACCAGGACGGAGAAACAAACACACAGGUACAGUAUAUGUCGGGCCAAUCCUCCUCCGCCAAUCCCCAUCUACCUCCUUUGAUUAGAAGUAAGCCGUCAGAGACCAAGCGAGAUGUCACUGUAGGUUGUGAUCUUUGUGUAAAACCCUACCACUCCAAUGGAUUCAGAAAAUAUCAUUCCUCACUCCCUAUAACGUUUUCUCUGAGGCUGGAAAUUCUUUACUGCAGAGCAAUUAAUGAUAUUGACGUAUUCUAGCAUUGUUCAUCCAUUUAUGUAUGUGCCAAGCUGUCAUCAAGGCGAAGGGUGGCUACUAUGAAGAAUCUACAUUUGUUUAACACUUUUUUGGUUGCAACAUGAUUCCAUAUGUGUUAUUUCAUAGUUGUGACGUCUUCACUAUUAUUCUACAAUGUAGAACAUGGUAAAAAAUAAAGAAAAAGCCUUGAAUGAGUAGAUGUGUCCAAACCUUUGACUGGUACUGUAGAUGUAGAUGUAGAGGUCUUUAUGCAGAAUGGAUGCACUUUCACAGCUGACGCAGGUGUGUUGACUCUCAAGCAUGUAUUUAUGAAAUUCCAUUCUCUGAUAUGCAUAUAGAAACUUCAUGCACUAAAGACUACCACAUGACUUUCAAACUGUUUGUUUGGGGAGAGAUACGGUGACACGGUUGAUAAAUUAAAAUGUAAUUUAUUAUGUUAAAGCCUUAGUUUGGUGGAUGAUUUGACAAUUUGACCAUGUGUGAGAAGAUGUGAAUAAAUGCUUCUGU